UAAAGAAACAGUUACUUCAAUUUUAACUGAGAAAGAAACCUGCGCAGUAAAAGUAUGAAACCCGCGAUCUUGCAACUCAUGUUCCACCAACCCACGUUCAAAAUCCACGAAACACUUAUAAUUCACAUUUUUUGUGAUCAGAUCGGCAUAAAAUAUUUGCUUUGUUUUUGUUCUUCUGCGGUCGUAUCCUGUGGAUCUCUUUGAUUCUCCAAAAUCAAUUUAUCAUGCAUGAAAGGGGCCUAAAAUAGAGCGGGGCAUAACUAUGUUGCUGUCUAUCAGUCUAGACGACGGAGGACCACUGCCACCGGCGGCUAAAGCAGCACAUGAACUUGGCUUCUGGUCAGUCUUUUGUGGAUAGUUAUUUAUGUGCAGACAUGGCCAUUAAUCCCCCGCCAUCUGCUCCACAGGGUCUAUGGGACUUGCUUUGCAGACACCGCUUCUCUCAUUUGUACACCAGCAUAUACUGCUAUUGUAUGAUUAUGUGAUGAGGCCUAUAACUUUCUGACAGCUUCUUUCGUAAAUAUUUUUUAUGAUUGAGAAAUUCCUUCCUUUUAGUUAGAAUUUUUUUUGUAGAACUCCUAUGACAAUGCUAUGUAGGAUAGCCAGAUGAUUGCAGUUAUCUGUUUAAGUUGUUGCUGGCAUUUAGUUAUACAACAAAAAAAAUAAAUUGUGAGGGGCGUUGAUUUUACCCUGCAUAUUAAACAACUCUACUGGGUCGAAAUGAGGAUGGGAGAAUGGUUAUGAACUUGUGGAUUUACUGAAUGUAUCUCACUGUUAUUGUGUUAUAACUUGGUAAGUAGAUGUCUAAUUUCUUGGAAGUGUUCGUGCACUUACUACGACGUCAAAGCACUGGGUUUUCUAGAGGAAGCUCGAAAUACAGGGGAGUCACGUUGCACAAAUAUGGACAAUGGGAAACUCGGAUGGGACAGUUUCUCAGAAAGAAGUGACUAACCCCUUAUCACACCAUAGCUUGAGAAUAUCAUAAUAUCAUUGACAUAGCUUUUCAAAAGCUUUCUUGAUAUAUUAUGAUGUCAUUAUACAAAUUUAUAAGAGUAGAUACCAGUAUCAUUCUCACAUUUAAGGUAUACUCUUUGUCAAAUUUGGUGAACCAUUUUGAAUUAUUGUCGAGUCGUAAAUGUAGAGUAGAAGUACAACCAGAUCUGUGAGGGAUUUGAAGACAUAUAAAGGAACUAUAUCUCUUAUUAAUUAACCUCGACAUGGAGG